rnacentral:rRNA from 1 species
GACAGAGGGUGCAAACGUUGCUCGGAAUUACUGGGCGUAAAGCGCGCGUAGGCGGAUUGGUGAGUCAGAUGUGAAAGCCCUGGGCUCAACCCAGGAACUGCACCUGAAACUACCAGUCUUGAGUGGUGGAGAGGGAAGUGGAAUUCCUGGUGUAGAGGUGAAAUUCGUAGAUAUCAGGAGGAACACCAGUGGCGAAGGCGGCUUCCUGGACACCAACUGACGCUGAGACGCGAAAGCGUGGGGAGCAAACAGG